rnacentral:lncRNA from 1 species
AGACACCUAGCCCACUAAGUUCCACUAAUUGUUAGUGGAACAUUAGGUGUUGAGAUUUGACAAAUUAAUUACAGCAUUUUUGCAUGUAAUUAGGUUAUAAAUAGGGGUGUUUUCAAAUGGUUGAAAACUUUUGCCUUUUUUAAUAUACUCCAAAAUGUCAACCAAGAAAAAAAAUACUUCUACCUUCCAAUUUCCUUUUAUCUCCAUUACUUUCUACAUCAAAUUGGGUCCCACAACCCAGUUCUUUGUCCAGAGGAUAGUAGUUGAGCAUUAGUGGUGAUCUCGGUUUGAAUUGAUAAGGAGGUAUCAAAGUUUUUUGAAAGCUUCAAAGGUAAUAUUUUCUAAAGCCCUAAUUUGAUUAGUUUAGGGUUACUUGUUAAUUGUGCCAUUUAGGGUAGAAAUUUGAUUCUUUUUCCGCUGUGCAUGUCUUAGUUCUAUCAUGUGGUAUCAGAGCAUGCUUCAAUUUUACCCAAUUGCAUGUGAUGGGUUCAUAUUUAUUAGAUAAAUUUUGGUUGGAACUAAAAUGAAUAUAUUAUGAUUUUGGCCCUAUAUUAAGUGUUUUUGUUCUAAUUAUUGUAAUUAGUCUUGUUAAUGGCUUAUUUUUAUUGUUGAAAAGUGUUUGUAAUUUUUUUUUUAAAAAAUAGUCAUUAGAGUUGAAGUUAGGCUGUAAUUGGUUCAACCGGGUGAGGGAAUUGAAAAAAAAUGAAGAAAAGAAUGUCACAGACCCGAAAACCCGGUCAUGACCCGCCUCGCGACCCGCCAGCAACCUGCACCCGCGCACCUGCUUGCGCCCAACCCGUGAGCGUCUGGGCUUGUUGGUUAAUUGGGCCGGUUCAAGCCCAAUAAAUUUGGUUUUUGAGCCAGUUCAAGCUGUUUCUGUUGGUUUUUCAGCCAGUUCGAAGUUUUUUGGGAGUGGUUUUGUACUACACCAAAUUAAUUAUGUAAUAAUUUAGUACUUAGCUUAAUUUAGGAGCCAAAAAUCAGUCCAUUUUAGGGUGUUUUUUUUUAAUUUAUGCAUGUGAUCUAUGAUUUAAUUACUUUAAAUUUGUAUGUGCAUUUUGAAUGUCAUAUAGAUUUAAAAUCCCACCAUAGGUCAUGUUCAUGCAUUAAAAGUAUGAUAUAAUGGUUAUAUUGUAUUGUAUGCAUGUUAAUUGAUUAAUAUGGAAAUUAAUUAAUUAAGUUAUUCUUGAUUAAAUAUGAUAUAAUCAAAUUAAUUAAUUUUUUUGAUUUAAUUUAAUUAAAUAUGAUUUAAUUAAAAGUUAAAAUUAAAAUCCAUAUUAAUUGAUUGUUUUUAUAAGUGUUAUAAAAUAAAUUAGACUUUUAAAAUCAAUAACAAAGAUUAAAUGCAAUCUCACUUAGGUUAAACAUAUCUUCCAAUUUUUCAUAGAAAUAGGUCGAUAUCUUGUAAAACUGGUUACAAGAGGCUCACCUGGUUCGAUCUUGUCAACAAGUCAGAUAAGAUGACUAAGGUUGGAGGUUCUUAAGUUGACGGUUUAUGGAACAUCUCCUACCUGGAGAUCGUAAUCAGUUCUUGAGCCUAAAUAACCUAGUUUUAUAAGCAUUCGUGAGAGGUGUGAGGUAAUAAAAAUGGUUUAUCACCUAGACAUCAUAGGUUAAAAUCAUGUAUAAUGGUUAUACUCGGAUGUUUUAUCUAGACUUAAGAUUUGUUUAAGUUAGCCUAAAAUAUAAAUCUUGAAGCUUUAAAUACCAUUUUUUCUUUAAAAUAAAAUAGAACACUUCAGCUAGAGAAAAAUAAAGUAUUUUAGCUCUAGUGUCCCUAAGAGUUGACACUGUGAGGUCCAUGAAGGGCUUUGUGUCGUGCAUAGGAGUGGACUCCCUUCGGAGAGUGUUUGCAUGGAUCAAAAUCAAGGUGAAUAGGGGAAGUAGUUCAUAGUAGUAGGUGAGGGAUAGGUGGCAGCACAUCCCACGGUCUCUUCCAUUAGGUUGCACCGUGAGAUUUCUAUAAUAUGCCUACUUGUCUGCCUUGGAGCGACGUUCCCUUCGGAGGGUUGUAUUAUAGGAUUCGGAACACCGCCCUAAGCCCUAAGGCCUAAAAGCCCUAAAAGCCCUAAAAUCCCUAAAAGCCCUAAAAGCCCUAAAAUCCCUAAAAGCCCUAAAAGCCUUAAAAGCCUAAGCCCUAAGCAUUAAAAGCCCUAAGCCCUCAGCCUUAAACCCUAAGCACUAAAAGCCUUAAGCUCUAAAAGCUCUAAAAGCCCUAAAAGCCCUAAAAGCCCUAAAAGCCCAAGCCCUAAGCGCCCUAAAAGCCAUAAGCCCAAGCCCUAAAAGGCCUAAGCCCUAAAAGCCCAAAGCCCAAGCCCUAAAACCUAAAAGCCCUAUGCGCCCUAAAAGCCCUAAAAGUCCUAAAAGCCCUAAAAGUCCUAAAAGCCCAAGCCCUAAGCCCUAAACCCUAAACGCCCUAAAAGUCCUAAAAGUCCUAAAAGCCCAAAGCCCGAGCCAUAAAAACCCAAGCCCAAAGCCCAAAGCCCUAAAACCUAAAAGCCCAAAGCCCAAGCCCUAAAAGCCCAAGCCCUGAGGCCUGAGGCCUAAAACCUAAAAGCCCUAAGCGCCCUAAAAACCCAAAAAGCCCUAGAACCCCUAAAAGCCCAAGCCCUAAAAGCCCAGGCCCUAUGCCCUAAGCCCUAAGCCAAAAGCCCUAAGCCCUAAAAGCCCUAAUCACUAAACGCCCUAAAAGCCCAAACCAUAAGCCCUAAAAGCCCUAAGCCCUAAACGCUUUAAAAGCCCUAAAAGACCUAAAAGACCUAAAAGCCCUAAAAGCCAUAAAAGCCCAAACCCUAAGCAAUAAAAGCCUGAGCACUGAGCAUUAAAAGCUCUAAGUGUAAGGACCUACUAGGCGGGGGUUGGGUUUUGCAUAGGCAAGAAAAGCGAAGAGGAUCCCCACGAAAACUCUGAAACCGGGGGAUCUCGACGCACAUUUUACUUGACCAAAGCGGCUGGCUUGACUCCCUCUUUUUUUUCUCUCUCCCUCUCUACAGACUGCCAUGCUGGGUGAAGAACUCUAAGAACCUACUAGGCGGGGUCGAGUUUUGCUUAGGCAAGAAAAGCGGAAAGGAUCCCCACGAAAACUCAGAAACCGGGGGAUCUCGACGCGCAUUUUACUUGACUUAAGCGGCUGGCUUGGCUCCCUCUUUUUUUUCUCUCUCCCUCUCUGCACACUGCCAUGCUGGGUGAAGAACUUUAAGGACCUACUAGGCGGGGUCGGGUUUUGCUUAGGCAAGAAAAGUGGAGAGGAUCCCCACGAAAACUCUGAAACCGGGGGAUCUCGGUGCACAUUUUACAUGACCUAAGCACUGGCUUGGCUCCCUCUUUUUUUUCUCUCUCCCUCUCUAUCGGCUGCCAUGCUGGGUGAAGAACUCUAAGUACCUACUAGGCGGGGGUCAGGUUUUGUUUUCCAUAACUACUUCGACUUAUGUAAUUUACCUUCUCCCUAAAUGCAACCAUAAAUCAAACUAACUAAAUGAAUAAAUUUACACCACAUAAAUCCAUCCUAUGAAGACUACAACGGAGAAAGAUGGGAUAAGGAUAAAGCAUAGGAAGAACAAAUACCCCAUGUUGAGUAAACUCAUAAAAAAUACUUUGUCUUGAGAGUAAUAUAUCCCGAACCAAUUUUCUGCCAGCCAUUAAGAUUUACCCACUGCAACUCUGCACACAAAUAUUUUCUUAUAAACAAUAAUAAACACAAUCUAAUUGGUAUCUUAUGGAUAUAAAAGACAACAUGGAUCCAUAUUGGUAGGAUUUCAAAUUAUUCUACGAACAAAGAAUUUGGAAGGAUUUGUGAUCAACUAAGGAGCUCUCGACUUUCUCCGCUGAAAUUUACCUUCCUUGGGUACUUAUUGACCAGAGACUGGAAGUAGUUGUGCUCUUCGUCCAUAGUAGUCAUCCAACCAGCAAGGGAAAGACCACGACGCGCAGUGGAAUAGGAAAAAGAGCGUCCAGCACAGCUUUCGUGUCACCAGCAAUCCUCUUUCCUUUAUUGGUAGACCGAAAAGGCUUUGUCAAGUAGACAUGAGAAGAAGAUGACGGUCGUGAAUCGACAGUUGAGAAAGUAUUAGAAAUCCGGCGAUUUUGAUUGCGAUUUUGAUUGUCACGUAGAUCGACAGUUGAGAAAUCCGGCGCUGUUAGGGCUAGGAGAAGAAGAUGGCCAUGAAUCGACGAUUUUGAGGAAGACGAAGAAGAUAAGAGAAGGGGAGAGGAGCAGAAAGUAGAGAGAGAGCCGUUAGAGAAAUUUGAAACGUGAGAGAGAAGGGGAGAUGAGGGAAAGGGUUUAUAACUAAAACAAAUUUAAAAUCCAAAACCCAUUUAAAAUCCAAAACCCAUUUAAAAGGUUUAGUUAUAAAGAAGUAGCCGGAUUAGUGAAGAAAAGCCAUUAUUUAUAACUAAACCGAUUUUACUUAAGUAGUGAAGAAAGUAUUAGAAAAGCCAUUAUUUAUAACUAAGUCAUUAUUUAUAACUAAAAGCCAUUAAGUAACCAAUUUUGAUUAGAAAUCCGGCUACUUCUUUAUAACUAAACCCAAUAUUUAAAAGGUUUAGGGUUUAGAGUUAGUGAAGAAAAGCCCAUUUAAAAUAUAUUUGAAUUAUUUGUGAUAAAGCCCAUUUAAAACCCAAAACAAUUUCUUUAUAAUUAAAACAAAUAUUUUGUUUUUAGAAUUUAGACUAAAAAAAAUCAAAUUUUACUGCAAAAACUGAGAUAAAAUUUUCAGUAAUGAUAAAGCAAAAAAAAAAUAUUUUUUUUUUCAAAUAAUUAUAAUCCAAAAUUUUUAAGAAAUGUGAAAUUUCAUUUAAUAAGAUAAAAAUAAUUGUGAACAUUUGUUUCCAACUUUGG